AUGGAAAUACGUAGCGGGUUUCAUUUCUAUGACUCAAAAGGACCAUAUGUUUGACAUCCAAUAGCCGAUGAUUAAUAAAUCAAUGUGCUCUAGUGGUGUCGUUAAACAAAACAAACUGGGCUUUUUUUCUAUUUAACGUGUGCAAUAUUCACCGUCUGCUGUUGUGUAGUGUUCAUACUGACAGUGAUCAAGAAUGAGAUCACGUAUGAAUAAAUACGUUAUCCAUGUUUUCAAAUAAAGUGUGCAAUGUUUAGUGUAGCUUUGCAGCACUUACAUGAAAGCAAACGUAGGAACAACUUGUUAAUCAUUAUUCGGACUGGGUUUCAUAAUUCCUCGGAGGAAACUUGAUACAUUUUUUUUUUUCAUUAGCGGCAAGGGGAAUCUUUUAUAUAAAUUUUCCCACUGACAGGACAAAACAUGCAUUGCUUGAUACAUCAGUUGUGUGCCACUGGCUGGGACAGGAAACCAAUGCCAUGAUGGAUCUUCUAAAGGGCUUUCAUCAUGUCACCUCGGGUUGGCAUUUAACAACUGAGCUAGUGUAGAUUCCUGUAAUAAUGUAAUGGCAGAUCCACAACAGAACAUAUAUUUGGCACAAAAAGGUUCACGACCAGGGCCCCGUUCCACGAAGCGAUCUUAGGCUAAGAUCGCUUAGUGGAACGGGGCCCAGAACCCAAUUUCACAAAACAUAGUAAGCCUAGCUAGUUUUGCAUGUAAACGAAAAUCUACGACAAAACCACAGUUCGUAUUACUAUUGUAGUACAACGAAUAUAGUUAUAAAAAUAUACAUAAUUUAUUUCAUUUCGUCCUUAAAAUGCACCAUCUUCCGUAAUGAUGACAUUUUCUGCGUGAAAUAGAUGCCAAACAUGUGAAUGUUUGCCCAGUAUAACUGCUAGUCGCAGAUGUAAAUUUACGAUGUUUUGUGAAAUUGGCUCCAGUUUUAUUUGACAGUGAGGGCAUGUUUUGCGGGCAUCUGAAAAUUGCAAGAGCGAUACUUUCGUUCGUGCAAUCCAUUUUCGUUCACAUAUUGAAUUUAGGACAUAUUUAUACAUGGUCAUGAUGGGUUACCUAAAAACAAAAUGGGUUACCUGAAUUUGUUUUUGUGUAAUCCAUAAAUGGUUUCUGCAGAUUUUUAAUUCUAAGAGGCCUGUGUUUGCAGGAAUUUAUCCAAGAUGGGGGCUGGACUAGACGGGUGGGUGAGGUGGGGGGUGGAGAGACACCCGAUACCCUGGAAAAUACCCACCCCCUGCACUCACACACUCUGUGGUAUGUUGACAGGGUUUUGAUUUACAGGGUUCCAAUCGCUAGGUCAUAAUAUCCACACGUAUACAUGCCUGUGUGACAGGAUUUUGAUAGUUUUUUUCAUAAUUUCAGAAAAAAUAUUAUUAAUACUGUUAUUUUAACUCUUAUUGUUUCAGUUUAAAACCACAAGGUGUACACUUAAGCAAAGAAAGCUAUUUUGUUGUUAAUCUUGCUAACCGGGACUAUAUUUUACUUUUUCUCCUCUUUUCUUUUUUACUUUUUUUUCUUUUUGACAAAUGGGAGUGUAACUCACUAGUAGUUAUUUAAAAAAUACUAUUAAUUUUUAAAAUCUGUGUAAUUGAAAAUGUUGGCCAUUGUUAAAUGUUACACGCAACAUUUUAUAUGAUUCUUCAGAUUUCAGUUUGUGCAUCUUGUUGAAAUCAAAAUUUGAAAUAAUUCAAUCUGUUUUAUUGAAUAAACAUGGUAUUUAUAAAUA
rnacentral:lncRNA from 1 species